rnacentral:ncRNA from 18 species
AUCCAGCGUUGAAGGGGACUGCCAAAGGCUCUGGGUUCGUUCUGAGAAUAUACGGUCAAAACUUGAUCUGGAUAAUACCAGCGAAAGGAUCAUGCCUUCCCUUGCCU